GACAGAGGUGCCAAGCGUUUAGGCGGAAUCACUGGGCUUAAAGCGUGUGUAGGCGGCUCGUUUAGUAACCUUGUGAAAUCCCACGGCUCAACCGUGGAACUCGCUCGGUAUACUGGCGGGCUUGAGCCAUCUAGGGGCUACCGGAACAAAUGGUGGAGCGGUGAAAUGCGUAGAUAUCAUUUGGAACGCCAAUGGUGAAAACAGGUAGCUGGGGAUGUGCUGACGCUGGAGACACGAAAGCCAGGGGAGCGAACGGG
rnacentral:rRNA from 1 species